GUUUGCUUUGGCGGGGCAUAUACUAAAAUUGGAAUAAUACAGAGUAGGUUAGCAUGGUUUCUGCAGAAGGAUGACAAACAAAUUUGUGAAGCGUUCCAUAUUAAA
rnacentral:snRNA from 1 species